AACUCAUGAAGACCAUUUUCAAAUCCCAGCCACCAAGGUUGCUAAUUCAAGCUAGUGUCAAUGGAAAAGCAUCAAACAUGUUUGAAACGGAUGGAAUGAAACAGCUGUAUUACCUUAAAGAUUAGCCUAAUCAGGUGCCUUUGGUACAAGAUUAAACCUCGUAACUGGGAUUUGAAAAUGGUCUUCAUGAGUUGCAUCACCAAUGUUGUGGUCAAAAUUGAGAAAGCUCUUCAGCAUAUCUCCAGGGCUAAAAAUGCUAGUCAACACUUUUUGCACCUCUCCGAGCCAAGGGAAGAUCAAGGAUAACUAGGAAAUAACAUCUUUCUGACUCUCUGAUGUAUUGUACUUCACCUUGCAUUAGCUUCAAAAUCUUCCUGCACAUGCUGAGCCCCAGGCCUUCUUGAGUUGUCCAUCGACUGCUGUGGAACAUGUCUUGAACUAAUUCAGGAGAAAGACCUUCACCAGGGCAAACCAUCCUGAAUUCUGUAUGCACAACANNNCAUCAGAGGCUUGCUUCAGUGUUGGACGAACAUGAAUCUCUACCCAACCUUCUGAAGAUGGUGCACAACGCACCAUAUUCAACAAGAAAUCAGCCAACACCUGUUGAAUUCUCACCUGAUCACCAUAUACAGCCAGAGAUUUUAUUUCCUCUGGAAUAUCACGAAUCAAUUGCAGAUUUCUUUCCCUCAGCAAUAACAUUACUUGGCUAACUACAGCAUCUAUGACACUCCCAAGUAAGAAUUGAGCCUUCUCAAGCUCCAGUGAACCAUCUUCAAUACUCUCCAGAUCAACAUCUCGAAUGAUCUUCAACAUCUGCUUCUCACAAGCAGCACUCGUUUCAAGAAACUGCUUUUGAUCCUCAGUCAAGUCUGUAGCCUCCAACAGUGAGUUUGUAAACCGUAUACCACUUAGAGGAUUCUUU
rnacentral:misc_RNA from 1 species